CCCUAAAAAGAUUGCCAGAUCAGAAGAGGAGACAGUGGAAGAGAACACACAGGAGACAGUGGAAGAGAGCACACAGGAGACAGUGGAAGAGAGCACACAGGAGACAGAACACACAGGAGACAGUGGAAGAGAGCACACAGGAGACAG